rnacentral:rRNA from 1 species
GACGGAAGGUGCAAGCGUUGCUCGGAAUCACUGGGCGUAAAGGGCGCGUAGGCGGCCGUGCAAGUCGGGCGUGAAAGCCCCGGGCUCAGCCCGGGAAGUGCGCUCGAAACUGCGCGGCUCGAGUGCCGGAGGGGAGAGUGGAAUUCCUGGUGUAGCGGUGAAAUGCGUAGAUAUCAGGAGGAAUACCGGUGGCGAAAGCGACUCUCUGGACGGCAACUGACGCUGAGGCACGAAAGCGUGGGGAGCAAACAGG